UACACUCCUACGGGAGGCAGCAGUGGGGAAUAUUGGACAAUGGGCGCAAGCCUGAUCCAGCCAUGCCGCGUGAGUGAUGAAGGCCCUAGGGUUGUAAAGCUCUUUCACCGGUGAAGAUAAUGACGGUAACCGGAGAAGAAGCCCCGGCUAACUUCGUGCCAGCAGCCGCGGUAAUACGAAGGGGGCUAGCGUUGUUCGGAUUUACUGGGCGUAAAGCGCACGUAGGCGGACUAUUAAGUCAGGGGUGAAAUCCCGGGGCUCAACCCCGGAACUGCCUUUGAUACUGGUAGUCUUGAGUGCGAGAGAGGUGAGUGGAAUUCCGAGUGUAGAGGUGAAAUUCGUAGAUAUUCGGAGGAACACCAGUGGCGAAGGCGGCUCACUGGCUCGAUACUGACGCUGAGGUGCGAAAGCGUGGGGAGCAAACAGGAUUAGAUACCCCAGUAGUCCCA
rnacentral:rRNA from 1 species